AAGUCGUAACAAGGUAACCGUAGGUGAACCUGCGGUUGGAUCAUUAAAUUGAAAAAGAGAGAGAAGAAAUUCUCUUGAUUUUUAAACAAUUAGAGAUAAUUGAAUGUUUUUUUUGUGGAGAGAAAAGAAGAGAAAUUGUCUUUUUUUUCCACAAAUUUAAAUAAACCAUUUUUAUUAUUAUUAUUAUUAUUAUAAAAUAAAAAAAAACAACUUUUGACAACGGAUCUCUUGGCUCUC
rnacentral:misc_RNA from 1 species